rnacentral:rRNA from 1 species
GACGAACGCUGGCGGCGUGCCUAAUACAUGCAAGUUGAGCGCUGAAGGUCGGUACUUGUCCCGACUGGAUGAGCAGCGCACGGGUGUGUAACGCGUGGAGAAUCUGCCUUUGAUCGGGGUACAACAUGUGGAAACGAAUGCUAAUACCGCAUAAACACUUUAAACACAAGUUUUAAGUUUGAAAGAUGCAAUUUCGUCACUCACUGAUGAUCCCGCGUUGUAUUAGCUAGGUGGUGAGGUAAAGACGCAUCAAGGUGAUGAUACAUAGCCGACCUGAGAGGAUGGUCAGCCAGCUUGGGACGGAGACACGGCCCAAAGGCAUACGGGAGGGAGCAGUAGGGAUUCUGCGGCAAUGGACGAAAGAUUGAGCGAGCAACGCGGAGGGAGGAAAGAACGUCUCCGCGUCGGAAAACACUGUUGGUAGAGAAGAAAGCGGGUGCGAGUGGAAAGCUCAGCAAGUGACGGUAACUACUAAGAAAGGGACGGCUAACUACGUG